rnacentral:rRNA from 1 species
UACAUGAAGCUGGAAUCGCUAGUAAUCGCAGGUCAGCAUACUGCGGUGAAUACGUUCCCGGGUCUUGUACACACCGCCCGUCACACCAUGGGAGCCGGAAAUGCCCGAAGCCAGUGACCCAACCUUAGGGAGGGAGCUGUCGAAGGUGGAGCCGGUAACUGGGGUGAAGUCGUAACAAGGUAUC